AGGACUCACUUCCUGUGGGAGACUCCUUACAAAGAACCCAGGACAGUUCCUCAUCAAUGCCGCUAAGGGUCUUAUCAGCAAACUUGGCUGCAAGAGAUCUGCUCUCGCAGACACGCUGGCUUCAAUUGUACAGAAGUUCGCCUCCCUCUUCCUGCCUGUCAUUCAGGCUGUCAAAGAGCACGUGGCCAAUCUAGGAUCCACCUCUCCGCCGCUGCCUCUGCGCUGUAUGGAUCUAUCAAACCAACCCUUGACCAACUGAGCACAAGCCUGGUGAGCAUAUCCAAAGCUCUGAAGGACAGCGCCUCCGAGUUGGUAAAGGACGGGCAGGCGGCCUUGAAGGCACUCGCUGCUGCAGCUGGAGACAUGGCUGGUCAGACAUCACUUCAGCAGACCCUAGAAACUUUGUUGGGCUCUCAAUAAAUCAACCAAUAAACACAUACAGGAACA